UCACCUACAUAUAUACAUGUUACACACUGACGGGUCGGGUCGGGUGAUCCGGCCCAAAAUUAAAUAAUGACAAUUGGGCUCAGACACAAAAUCAUCACAGCCCAGUUACAACCCAAUUACAAGGUGUACCAAAAUUAUAUACUGAGUAUACACAAAAAUGUACAAGCAUAUACAAAGCUAAAUCAUGUAGCUUCUUUCAUCUCAACACCCCGCUCAAGUUGGAGGGGGAAACCACCUGCAACUUGGUGAGCAGCGGAAUAAGUAUAGUGCCAGGCAGGGGCUUAGUGAGCAAGUCGGCCAGCUGACGAGAAGUAGCCACAUGAAGCAACUUGAGAAAACCAGAAAGUAGAAAGUUCCGAACAAAAUGGCAAUUCACCUCGAUAUGUUUGGU
rnacentral:lncRNA from 1 species